CCGCCACGGAUGGCGGUGGUUCAACACAAUAGCGAUGUUUUUUGCCUUGCAAAAAACUCGACGUUAAGCAGUGUACACGGAUGUACACUGCUUAACA
rnacentral:sRNA from 1 species